GACGAACGCUGGCGGCGUGCUUAACACAUGCAAGUCGAACGGAAAGGCCCUGCUUUUGUGGGGUGCUCGAGUGGCGAACGGGUGGGUAACACGUGAGUAACCUGCCCUUGACUUUGGGAUAACUUCAGGAAACUGGGGCUAAUACCGGAUAGGAGCUCCUGCUGCAUGGUGGGGGUGGGAAAGUUUCGGCGGUUGGGGAUGGACUCGCGGCUUAUCAGCUUGUUGGUGGGGUAGUGGCUUACCAAGGCUUUGACGGGUAGCCGGCCUGAGAGGGUGACCGGCCACAUUGGGACUGAGAUACGGCCCAGACUCCUACGGGAGGCAGCAGUGGGGAAUAGUGCACAAUGGGCGGAAGCCUGAUGCAGCAACGCCGCGUGCGGGAUGACGGCCUUCGGGUUGUAAACCGCUUUCGCCUGUGACGAAGCGUGAGUGACGGUAAUGGGUAAAGAAGCACCGGCUAACUACGUG
rnacentral:rRNA from 1 species